rnacentral:rRNA from 1 species
UACGGAGGGUGCAAGCGUUAUCCGGAUUCACUGGGUUUAAAGGGUGCGUAGGCGGGCAGGUAAGUCCGUGGUGAAAUCUCUGAGCUUAACUCAGAAACUGCCAUGGAUACUAUUUGUCUUGAAUGUUGUGGAGGUAAGCGGAAUAUGUCAUGUAGCGGUGAGAUGCUUAGAUAUGACAUAGAACACCAAUUGCGAAGGCAGCUUACUACACAAAUAUUGACGCUGAGGCACGAAAGCGUGGGGAUCAAACAGG